rnacentral:rRNA from 1 species
GUCAAGUCAUCAUGCCCCUUAUAUCCAGGGCUGCAAACAUGCUACAAUGGCCGGUACAGAGGGCUGCAAUCCCGCGAGGGUGAGCGAAUCCCAAAAAGCCGGUCUCAGUUCGGAUCGCAGUCUGCAACUCGACUGCGUGAAGCCGGAGUCGCUAGUAAUCCCGGAUCAGCUACGCCGGGGUGAAUACGUUCCCGGGCCUU